ACCCCAGACUCCUACGGGAGGCAGCAGUGGGGAAUAUUGCACAAUGGGGGAAACCCUGAUGCAGCGACGCCGCGUGAGCGAUGAAGUAUUUCGGUAUGUAAAGCUCCAUCAGCAGGGAAGAAGAUGACGGUACCUGACUAAGAAGCCCCGGCUAACUACGUGCCAGCAGCCGCGGUAAUACGUAGGGGGCAAGCGUUAUCCGGAUUUACUGGGUGUAAAGGGCGUGUAGGCGGGGACGCAAGUCAGAUGUGAAAACCACGGGCUCAACCUGUGGCCUGCAUUUGAAACUGUGUUUCUUGAGUGCUGGAGAGGCAGGCGGAAUUCCUAGUGUAGCGGUGAAAUGCGUAGAUAUUAGGAGGAACGCCAGUGGCGAAGGCGGUCUGCUGGACAGCAACUGACGCUGAGGCGCGAAAGCGUGGGGAGCAAACAGGAUUAGAUACCCGAGUA
rnacentral:rRNA from 1 species